rnacentral:rRNA from 1 species
AUUGAACGCUGGCGGAAUGCUUUACACACGCAAGUCGAACGGCAGCACGGGGCAACCUGGUGGCGAGUGGCGAACGGGUGAGUAAUACAUCGGAACGUGCCCAAUCGUGGGGGAUAACGUAGCGAAAGUUACGCUAAUACCGCAUACGAUCUACGGAUGAAAGCGGGGGAUCGCAAGACCUCGCGCGAAUGGAGCGGCCGAUGGCAGAUUAGGUAGUUGGAGGGGUAAAGGCUCACCAAGCCGACGAUCUGUAGCUGGUCUGAGAGGACGACCAGCCACACUGGGACUGAGACACGGCCCAGACUCCUACGGGAGGCAGCAGUGGGGAAUUUUGGACAAUGGGCGCAAGCCUGAUCCAGCCAUUCCGCGUGCAGGAUGAAGGCCUUCGGGUUGUAAACUGCUUUUGUACGGAACGAAACGGUUCUCUCUAAUACAGGGGGCUAAUGACGGUACCGUAAGAAUAAGCACCGGCUAACUACGUGCCAGCCGCCGCAGUAA